UACGGGGGAGCAAGCGUUGUUCGGAUUUACUGGGCGUAAAGGGCGCGUAGGCGGCCAGCACAAGUCAGUUGUGAAAUCUCCGAGCGUUAAACUCGGAAAGGUCAACUGAUACUGUGCGGCUAGAGUGCGGGAAGGGGCAACUGGAAUUCUUGGUGUAGCGGUGAAAUGCGUAGAGAUGUGGAGGAACACCGAUGGCGAAAGGCAGCCUCCUGGGCCAACACUGACGCUCAUGCACGAAAGCGUGGGAG
rnacentral:rRNA from 1 species